ACUCCUACGGGAGGCAGCAGUGGGGAAUAUUGGACAAUGGGCGAAAGCCYGAUCCAGCAAUGCCGCGUGAGUGAUGAAGGCCUUAGGGUUGUAAAGCUCUUUUACCCGGGAUGAUAAUGACRGUACCGGGAGAAUAAGCUCCGGCUAACUCCGUGSCAGCAGCCGCGGUAAUACSGAGGGAGCUAGCGUUGUUCGGAAUUACCGGGCGUAAAGCGCACGUAGGCGGCUUUGUAAGUUAGAGGUGUAAGCCUGGGGCUCAACUCCMGAAUUGCCUUUGAUACUGCAUGGCUUGAAUCCAGGAGAGGUGAGUGGAAUUCCGAGUGUAGAGGUGAAAUUCGUAGAUAUUCGGAAGAACACCAGUGGCGAAGGCGGCUCACUGGACUGGKAUUGACGCUGAGGUGCRAAAGCGUGGGGAGSAAACAGGAUUAGAUACCCUGGUARUCCACGCCGUAAACGAUGAUAACUAGCUGUCCGGGGACUUAGUCUUUGGGUGGCGCAGCUMACGCAUUAARUUAUCCGCCUGGGGAGUACGGCCGCRAGGUUAAAACUCAAAUGAAUUGACG
rnacentral:rRNA from 1 species